CCAAGGUAAACUUUGGGGAUGCUCCCUAGCAGGACUGGCUUCUCCAGGAGCAGGCAGAGGCUGCUCAGAAAAACAAGGUCAGGCUGCCUUUUUUUUCCUAUUUUUUAUUUUUUUUGGUGAGCACAGGAAUCAACAAAGCCGUGUUAUAUAACUUCUAUUUAUAUCCCACUUGCUCACUAGCUGCAGGCAUACAAGAGUGGCUGAGAAGGGAAUUUAAUGAGCUCUCAGGGCUUGCUCACCUUCCAGAGCGGGUAGGAGCCAGCUUGUUUUUGAAGUGCGUCAGCAAAUGAAACUGGUGGUGGGUGGGUGGUUUGGGUAGGUGGACUGACUUGUUGCUAUGGUUUUCUUUAAUUCCUCUGUCUCUCAA
rnacentral:sRNA from 14 species